rnacentral:rRNA from 1 species
ACCUGCGGAAGGAUCAUUAGUGAAUCACCGGGGUAGCCACUCUGUGGCCCCCAAA